AAUCAACGCUGGCGGCGUGCCUAACACAUGCAAGUCGAACGAGAAAGGGGAGCAAUCCCUGAGUACAGUGGCGACCGGGUGAGUAACACGUGACUAACCUACCCUCGAGUGUGGAAUAACAUCGGGAAACCGAUGCUAAUACCGCAUAACAUCGCAAGAUCAAAGGAGCAAUCCGCUUGAGGAGGGGGUCGCGGCUGAUUAGCUAGUUGGCGGGGUAACGGCCCACCAAGGCGAAGAUCGGUAUCCGGCCUGAGAGGGCGCACGGACACACUGGAACUGAAACACGGUCCAGACUCCUACGGGAGGCAGCAGUGGGGAAUUUUGCGCAAUGGGGGAAACCCUGACGCAGCAACGCCGCGUGGAGGAUGAAGCCCCUUGGGGCGUAAACUCCUUUCGACCAAGACGAUAAUGACGGUACUGGUGGAAGAAGCACCGGCUAACUCUGUGCCAGCAGCCGCGGUAAUACAGAGGGUGCAAGCGUUGUUCGGAAUUAUUGGGCGUAAAGGGCGCGUAGGCGGCGCGGUAAGUCACCUGUGGAAUCUCCAAGCUCAACUUGGAGCCUGCAGGCGAAACUGC
rnacentral:rRNA from 1 species